GCCUUCGUGGUGUAGUGGUCAGCACGCUCGGCGCGUAUUCGAGAGGUCCAUGGUUCGAGUCCCGGCGAGAGUA
rnacentral:tRNA from 1 species